CACGGACCGCACGAACGUUAUUCGGUAUCACUGGGCUUAAAGGGUGCGUAGGCGGCUUUGCAAGUUGGGUGUGAAAGCCCUCGGCUCAACCGAGGAAUUGCGCUCAAUACUGCCGAGCUCGAGAGAGACAGAGGUAAGCGGAACUGAUGGUGGAGCGGUGAAAUGCGUUGAUAUCAUCAGGAACACCGGUGGCGAAGGCGGCUUACUGGGUCUUUUCUGACGCUGAACGGCGAAAGCUAGGGGAGCAAACGGGAGU
rnacentral:rRNA from 1 species